rnacentral:rRNA from 1 species
ACUCCUACGGGAGGCAGCAGUGGGGAAUAUUGCACAAUGGGGGAAACCCUGAUGCAGCCAUGCCGCGUGUGUGAAGAAGGCCUUCGGGUUGUAAAGCACUUUCAGUAGGGAGGAAGGUAGUGUAGUUAACACCUGCAUCUUAGUUGCUGUCCUACAGAAGAAGCACCGGCUAACUCCGUGCCAGCAGCCGCGGUAAUACGGAGGGUGCGAGCGUUAAUCGGAAUUACUGGGCGUAAAGCGCAUGCAGGCGGCCUGUUAAGUCAGAUGUGAAAGCCCGGGGCUUAACCUCGGAAUUGCAUUUGAAACUGGGUGCUAGAGUCUUGUAGAGGGGGGUAGAAUUUCAGGUGUAGCGGUGAAAUGCGUAGAGAUCUGAAGGAAUACCAGUGGCGAAGGCGGCCCCCUGGACAAAGACUGACGCUCAGAUGCGAAAGCGUGGGGAGCAAACAGGAUU